rnacentral:rRNA from 1 species
AGAGUUUGAUCUUGCUUAGAUUGACGCUGGCGGCAGGCCUAACACAUGCAAGUCGAACGGUAACAGGAAGAAGCUUGCUUCUUCGCUGACGAGUGGCGGACGGGUGAGUAAUGUCUGGGAAACUGCCUGAUGGAGGGGGAUAACUACUGGAAACGGUAGCUAAUACCGCAUAACGUCGCAAGACCAAAGAGGGGGGCCUUCGGGCCUCUUGCCAUCGGAUGUGCCCAGAUGGGAUUAGCUAGUAGGUGGGGUAACGGCUCACCUAGGCGACGAUCCCUAGCUGGUCUGAGAGGAUGACCAGCCACACUGGAACUGAGACACGGUCCAGACUCCUACGGGAGGCAGCAGUGGGGAAUAUUGCACAAUGGGCGCAAGCCUGAUGCAGCCAUGCCGCGUGUAUGAAGAAGGCCUUCGGGUUGUAAAGUACUUUCAGCGGGGAGGAAGGGAGUAAAGUUAAUACCUUUGCUCAUUGACGUUACCCGCAGAAGAAGCACCGGCUAACUCCGUGCCAGCAGCCGCGGUAAUACGGAGGGUGCAAGCGUUAAUCGGAAUUACUGGGCGUAAAGCGCACGCAGGCGGUUUGUUAAGUCAGAUGUGAAAUCCCCGGGCUCAACCUGGGAACUGCAUCUGAUACUGGCAAGCUUGAGUCUCGUAGAGGGGGGUAGAAUUCCAGGUGUAGCGGUGAAAUGCGUAGAGAUCUGGAGGAAUACCGGUGGCGAAGGCGGCCCCCUGGACGAAGACUGACGCUCAGGUGCGAAAGCGUGGGGAGCAAACAGGAUUAGAUACCCUGGUAGUCCACGCCGUAAACGAUGUUGACUUGGAGGUUGUGCCCUUGAGGCGUGGCUUCCGGAGCUAACGCGUUAAGUCGACCGCCUGGGGAGUACGGCCGCAAGGUUAAAACUCAAAUGAAUUGACGGGGGCCCGCACAAGCGGUGGAGCAUGUGGUUUAAUUCGAUGCAACGCGAAGAACCUUACCUGGUCUUGACAUCCACGGAAGUUUUCAGAGAUGAGAAUGUGCCUUCGGGAACCGUGAGACAGGUGCUGCAUGGCUGUCGUCAGCUCGUGUUGUGAAAUGUUGGGUUAAGUCCCGCAACGAGCGCAACCCUUAUCCUUUGUUGCCAGCGGUCCGGCCGGGAACUCAAAGGAGACUGCCAGUGAUAAACUGGAGGAAGGUGGGGAUGACGUCAAGUCAUCAUGGCCCUUACGACCAGGGCUACACACGUGCCACAAUGGCGCAUACAAAGAGAAGCGACCUCGCGAGAGCAAGCGGACCUCAUAAAGUGCGUCGUAGUCCGGAUUGGAGUCUGCAACUCGACUUCAUGAAGUCGGAAUCGCUAGUAAUCGUGGAUCAGAAUGCCACGGUGAAUACGUUCCCGGGCCUUGUACACACCGCCCGUCACACCAUGGGAGUGGGUUGCAAAAGAAGUAGGUAGCUUAACCUUCGGGAGGGCGCUUACCACUUUGUGAUUCAUGACUGGGGUGAAGUC